rnacentral:lncRNA from 1 species
CUAGCAACAGCUGCUGUGUACGUAGCUGACAUGCACAGCUUAAACCCUUAAACAAGAGCAAAAUGAAUCAUGAAGAAAUCUCUAAUACUAUUAUCCUGACUGCAAGACAAAAAUGCCACCUAUCAGAUAACUGGUACUAACUGAACAUCUUUUGCUAUGAUCAUGCUGCAGCAACAACCUCAACUUUACUUUCUUCCCUGAGACUUUUCCUGACUUUGUUGUGGGGACCUGCCCAUUAAGCACUGAAGGUCAACCUGGAUGUUUUGGUGAGUAACAUUUCAUCCUUUCCAGGGAGUCUCAGCUUCUGGAGGACAGGAGCUGAUGGAUAAAGUUUUCUCCCAGUCAACCAGUC